rnacentral:rRNA from 1 species
AUUGAACGCUGGCGGCAGGCCUAACACAUGCAAGUCGAACGAGUGGCGGACGGGUGAGUAAUGUCUGGGAAACUGCCUGAUGGAGGGGGGUAACUACUGGAAACGGUAGCUAAUACCGCAUACCAUCGGAUGUGCCCAGAUGGGAUUAGCUAGUAGGUGGGGUAAAGGCUCACCUAGGCGACGCUCCCUAGCUGGUCUGAGAGGAUGACAAGCCACACUGGGACGUAGACACGGUCCAGACUCAUACGGGAGGCAGCAGUGGAGAAUAGUGCACAAUGGGCGCAAGCCUGAUGCAGCCAUGCCGCGUGUAUGAAGAAGACCUUCGGGUUGUAAAGUACUUUCAGCGGGGAGGCGUUACCCGCAGAAGAAGCACCGGCUAACUCCGUGCCAGCAGCCGCGGUAAUUC